AUUCAAACCCUAGGAUCUUGCAGCGCCACCAGGGAGGAUCAUGGAGACGUAAUUCAACAAGAAAACAUCGACGAAUGUCGAACGCCGACAUCUGAAGAACACAGGAUUCCUGCCGUGUUAAGGUGUCCGCCGGCGCCACGGAAACCCAGGAGGAGGACGGUUUCAUAUAAAAGAAAGUUUUCAGAGUUUGAAUUCUUUGAGAUCCUGAACCGGCAAGAAGUGGAAUCUUUCUUUCUGUCAAGUUUUGAGGCUGUUGCUGCAGCAAAGAAGCGAUGCCCUUAUAAAUGAAACGCGGCGUAUUUGUGCCACAAACUCACGUUUCUCUUCUUCUUCUUUUUAUAUUGAUUUAAGGUUCAUGGUUGAAAGAAAUGUAUUUAUUACACGCUUAAAUCCCAUUUAUAGGUAUGUAAUUCUACAUCAUAUAUUCAUAUGAUCGAUUUGUUUUCUUUUGAUUAUUAUUGAAAAAAUUUCCAGACCCUGCAAAUGGAUCUGAACUGUUGUUUUAUUUAUUUAUAUGAAUUUAAUUUUAGAAUUCAAUGAA
rnacentral:misc_RNA from 1 species